rnacentral:rRNA from 1 species
CUGGGAGGACCAUCUCCUAAGGCUAAAUACUCUCUAGUGACCGAUAGUGAACCAGUACCGUGAGGGAAAGGUGAAAAGCACCCCGGAAGGGGAGUGAAAUAGAACCUGAAACCGUGUGCUUACAAGUAGUCAGAGCCCGUUAAUGGGUGAUGGCGUGCCUUUUGUAGAAUGAACCGGCGAGUUACGAUUUGAUGCAAGGUUAAGCAGUAAAUGUGGAGCCGUAGCGAAAGCGAGUCUGAAUAGGGCGUUUAGUAUUUGGUCGUAGACCCGAAACCAGGUGAUCUACCCUUGGUCAGGUUGAAGUUCAGGUAACACUGAAUGGAGGACCGAACCGACUUACGUUGAAAAGUGAGCGGAUGAACUGAGGGUAGCGGAGAAAUUCCAAUCGAACCUGGAGAUAGCUGGUUCUCUCCGAAAUAGCUUUAGGGCUAGCCUCAAGUGAUGAUUAUUGGAGGUAGAGCACUGUUUGGACGAGGGGCCCCUCUCGGGUUACCGAAUUCAGACAAACUCCGAAUGCCAAUUAAUUUAACUUGGGAGUCAGAACAUGGGUGAUAAGGUCCGUGUUCGAAAGGGAAACAGCCCAGACCACCAGCUAAGGUCCCAAAAUAUAUGUUAAGUGGAAAAGGAUGUGGCGUUGCCCAGACAACUAGGAUGUUGGCUUAGAAGCAGCCAUCAUUUAAAGAGUGCGUAAUAGCUCACUAGUCGAGUGACACUGCGCCGAAAAUGUACCGGGGCUAAACAUAUUACCGAAGCUGUGGAUUGUCCUUUGGACAAUGGUAGGAGAGCGUUCUAAGGGCGUUGAAGCAUGAUCGUAAGGACAUGUGGAGCGCUUAGAAGUGAGAAUGCCGGUGUGAGUAGCGAAAGACGGGUGAGAAUCCCGUCCACCGAUUGACUAAGGUUUCCAGAGGAAGGCUCGUCCGCUCUGGGUUAGUCGGGUCCUAAGCUGA